GUUUGAUCCUGGCUCAGAUUGAACGCUGGCGGUAUGCUUAACACAUGCAAGUCGAACGGUAACAGAACUAGCUNGCUAGUUGCUGACGAGNGGCGGACGGGUUAGUAACGCGUGGGAACAUACCCUUCUCUAAGGAAUAGCCACNGGAAACGGUGAGUAAUACUUUAUACGCCCUUCGGGGGANAGAUUUAUCGGAGAUGGAUUGGCCCGCGUUAGAUUAGAUAGUUGGUGGGGUAAUGGCCUACCAAGUCUACGAUCUAUAGCUGGUUUUAGAGGAUGAUCAGCAACACUGGGACUGAGACACGGCCCAGACUCCUACGGGAGGCAGCAGUGGGGAAUCUUAGACAAUGGGCGCAAGCCUGAUCUAGCGAUGCCGCGUGUGUGAUGAAGGUCUUAGGAUCGUAAAGCACUUUCACCAGGGAUGNUAAUGACAGUACCUGGAAAAGAAACCCCGGCUAACUCCGUGCCAGCAGCCGCGGUAAUAAGG
rnacentral:rRNA from 1 species